rnacentral:rRNA from 1 species
CAUUAAAGAGUUUUGGUAAUCUUCGGGUACCAUCUCCAACCAAUUGUGAACUUACUUUGUUGCCUCGACAUCCGAUAGGUACCCGAUAGGUGUACCCAUCCUUCGGUUGCUUGCACCUGAAGAGUGAUGUCGAAGGAUUUUUAAACUAGAUUAAUCAUGAUCUCUGAGUUAAAACAAAUGAAAACAAAACUUUCAACAACGGAUCUCUUGGUUCUGGCAUCGAUGAAGAACGCAGCGAAAUGCGAUAAGUAAUGUGAAUUGCAGAAUUCAGUGAAUCAUCGAAUCUUUGAACGCACAUUGCGCCCUUUGGUAUUCCGAAGGGCAUGCCUGUUCGAGCGUCAUUUAAACUCUCAAGCUUUGCUUGGUAUUGAAGGAUAUCCUUAAGGAUACCUUUCCAACAAGUUGUGCAAGUAGAUCAAACUUCAAGCGUAGCAAUGUUAUCGUUUAGUUGUGAGAUUGAACUUUGUCUGACAAUCUUAAUUUCUUUAAGUUUGACCUCGGAUCAGGUAGGGAUACCC